AUGUCAGCCAGACUUCAACUCCAGCUGGGUGUGAGCACCUUAUGCCACCGCUGCCCACGCUGCCCUGCAUCCGUGCUGCGCUGCGUUGGCACUGGAGAGGCUGGGAGGCUCUGGGAAUUGGAAUCCCUGGCUGUGCUUGCCGGAAAGGGUGUAUGUAAAUGAGGCGGUUUUCCUGCCACCUCUGCAGAUGAUUCAGCCCAGCAAGUGUGAAGAGGGAGGGAACGUCCCUGCCAGAGCUGGGACACAGUGCAGGGGCGUGGUUAUAAAUGAACGAAACAGCUCUUCUGCUGAGUUUUUUUUUCUUCUAUACAGUUCCUCUGUGAGUUCCCUUUAACCAUGACGUAAAACCCAUUUUGUGGCUUUAGUCUUCUAUUUCAAACAACAUGUUCACCAGCAACGGUGCAGAACAGUGGGACGCACUCUGGGGCCAGGGUGCCUGUCUGCACCUUGGCUGGCUGGCACCCUCAGGCAGGUCCCCCUGGGCUGGUGGGCACCAGGGGAGUUCUCCCGGACAGGGUUGUGUCUCGCAGGAUGAGACAGCGGUCACGACGACACAGCAGCCAUGCGAUGACGUGGGCCCGUCCCCCACCCCGGCCACUUGCCUCUCCCCUGCUGCUCCACCGACUCCUCCCAGCCUGCAGGUGACCCGGACGUGCUGCCUCACCUGUAGAUGCCACUUUGUUCAUCUGUGAGACUACGCUGGGAAAAUGGGCUCACUGCAGAUCUUGCAUUGGGUACUUUUUAAAUCUCUCUGGGCAUCUGUUAAAUGGCAUAAUGACUAUCUGUGCUUACAUCUUAAGCUUCUAUUUUGCUUUUUUGUUUGUUUGAGAUGGAGUUUUGCUCUUGUUGCCCAGGCUGGAGUGCAAUGGUGCCAUCUCAGCUCACUGCAACCUCCGCCUCCAGGGUUCAGGUGAUUAUCCCAUCUCAGCCUCCCGAGUAGCUGGAAUUACAGGCAUGCGCCACCGUGCCCGGCUAAUUUUGUAUUUUUAGUAGAGACGGGGUUUCACCAUGUUGGUCAGGCUGGUCUCGAACUCCCGACCUCAGAUGGUCUACCCGCCUUGGCCUCCCAAAAUGCUGGGAUUACAGGGCAUGAGCCACCACACCCAGCCAGCUUCUGUUUUCUUUAACUUAGGGAUAUAUCAGAGAAAAAUAGAAUGAUGUAUCCAAUAUUCAUCCUUCUCCCAGAGUUUGUUCAUUUUUUAAAAAUAAUUUAGUUUUAAAUAACAAAUAUAAUAAACCUACUUAAAAAAUACAGAAGCACAGGCCAUGUGCAGUGGCUCACGCUGUAAUCCCAACACUUUGGGAGGCCGAGGCAGGAGGAUCGCUUGAACCCAAGAGUUUGAGACCAGUCUGGACAACACAGGAGGGCUCCAUCUCUAUAAUAUGUGUGUAUGUGUGUGUGUGUAUAUAUAUAU
rnacentral:lncRNA from 1 species